rnacentral:snRNA from 1 species
GUGCUCACUUCAGCAGCACUUAUACUAAAAUUGGAAGGAUACAGAGAAAAUUAGCAUGGCCCUGUGCAAGGAUGACAUGCAAAUUUGUGAAGUGUUUUAUAUUUUU